UACGUAGGAUGCAAGCGUUGUCCGGAAUUAUUGGGCGUAAAGAGCGCGCAGGCGGUAUGACAAGUCAGAUGUGAAAGAGGCCGGCUUAACCGGCAAGGGUCAUUUUGAAACUGUCAGACUAGAGUGCAGCAGAGGAUAGUGGAAUUCCCGGUGUAGUGGUGAAAUGCGUAGAUAUCGGGAGGAACACCAGUGGCGAAGGCGACUAUCUGGGCUGCAACUGACGCUGAGGCGCGAAGGCUAGGGUAGCAAACAGG
rnacentral:rRNA from 1 species